UAUCCAUAAUACCUCUGUGAGACUCACUAUAAAGAAAGGGCUUGCAGAAGGAAGAAAGUGUGCUUUUAGUGGUGCAGAAGCCUGGAAACUCUGAGCCACACAUUUUCUGAGCACAAAUGCUGGCAACCUUGACCAGGUCUGUUGCCGGACAGAAGCCUGGAAACUCUGAGACACACAUUUUCUGAGCACAAAUGCUGGCAACCUUGACCAGGUCUGUUGCGGGAACACUCUCUGACCUUUGUGGCUCACUACCAGAUAGUGGCCCUUGAGUUUUUUCACUGGCAGGAAUCGUAAAACCAGGAAUAGUUGAGAUGGAUCUGUCGAAUGUUGAUGGUUUAUCUGGCAGUGCAA
rnacentral:lncRNA from 1 species